rnacentral:lncRNA from 1 species
UUGCUUCUCUAAAUUCUUUGUUUGAAUGAAAACAGGCUACAGUUGCUAACUUUAUCUCAUUUUUUUUGGACGGGAAUGUUAUCUUGUUAUAUGUUCGAUUUCUGCGUUUUUCAUCUCAAAAUAUAAUCAUUUACAUUACUAUUAUCAUUUUUACAUGUAGUCGCACAUGUUCAAUAUACAUCUUUAGUUUGCUUUCAAAGGAGAAAAAUAGAUAUUCUGGACCGCUCCUGGACAACCGCGCCUUAGAGGCUCGCGAGCUGGACCGAGGCUCGAGUCGAGGUGCCUUUGUCGGCUCAUCGCAGCUUCCGAGCUACUCAGAAGCUCGGUUCACCAAAGUCCAGCACGGCUCGGCUCAUGUCCAGCCCUGCCAAAGGAUAUGACCGUCAGUAAACGAAAUUUGCAUCCAGCUGAUGCUGCAUUCGUGACCUUGCAAUAAAGAGAAGUUCUCCAUUUGGGAAGACAUUUAAGGUGGGCUGAUAAUUGUCAAGCAAACUUUGCAGUGAAGGAGGAGGUGCUCGGCCGUCUCGAUCGCCGAAGAAACAUAUAGUGCAGGACGCUGACUUACACGUCUGGAACAAUCCAAUCGUGGUCGAGGAGCCAUAUGAUGAAGGGGACAUGCGAGGAUUGCCAAAGAAGUUUUUGCCCCGGCGCACACAGCUUGCUGUGAGGGGAGUCGUUGAGGAGAGCUACCGUUCAUCGAAGAAUGGAGAGCUAGGUACACCUCAUCUAGAUAAUCAGGAGGUGCGCCUCAUGUACUUCGUCUCCAUAGCUCAGAAGGGAAACUGCAGCUUCUUUCCAGCUAGUGACUACUUUCUGUGUUUCUAAAUGUAAGUCUUUUAAGAAAUUAUGUCACGGACUACAUUCAAAUGUAUUUAGACAUAGUUUAGUGUGUAGAUUCAUUUAUUUUGCUUUUUAUGUACUCCAUCCGUUCCUAAAUAUAAGUCUUUGUAGAAAUUUCACUAGUGGACUACAUACGGAUGUAUAUAGACAUACUUUAGAGUGUAGAUUCAUUCAUUUUGCUCCGUAUGUAGACAUAUAAUGAAAUCGCUUAAAAGACUUAUGUUUAGGAACGGAGGGAGUAGUCUAUAGUGCAAUCUUUAAAAAGACUUGUAUUUAGGAACGGAGGGGUCGGAGUAGUAUGUACGCCCCAUGUACAGACAUGUGAACCAUUGCUAGUAGGUUGGUUCACUAAAUAUCAUCGCAAGUGCAUGACUUUUUGGUAUUUUGUCUUGUGACAGUGAUACCCCUGGCGGCAUGCAUCGAGUAGUUUUCGUUCCUGCCGACAUGUAAAGGUCAACAUUAAUGUUUGCAUCAGAAUCAAGUUGACAGAGAGCCGCUGGACGAAGAUGGCCGUUCAGAUCAUCAGUGCAUUUAUGUCUUAUAAGCUGUGUAGACAAUAAAUUGGAGCAGAGAGUACAUUGCAUUUCUAUGAUUACCACUGCAUAGAGCACGUUGGUUGCUACAUGUUCUUACAUAAAAGAGUAUGCGAGGCACAACCCUAAGACAGAAGCACCAAUAAGAAGGAAGCACCCGAUUAUUUCUUUGUUGUGAACAAGUUUGUGGGGAAAUAAAUGGAAUAUAGUCAGUGAUAUAUGCAUGCACUCAUGUGACGUCAUAUGGAGGCAUCUUAGCUCAGCUGGCAAUCAGACAGGUUUGGUCUGGUAGACCUCUACCAGACCCAUGCCCGACUCCACUAUCGGAUGAGUCAUCAACCCACGACCCUACCCAUGGGUCUAGAAAGGGACCCAUGCCAAACCCACUAGGUAACCCGAUCUAGUCAGACACCCAUAGGAUAUGACAACCCAUACCCUAUCCAUUCAAAUCCGGUGCCCAUGGACAGCUAAAUUCAUGGGUCAGAUUCCCAGAUUGAGUCAUAGCAUUGUUUGUUUUAGGAACUAUGCAUGCCUCUUAGAACUGACUUAAUUACAUUGACACAAAUGCCUUAGAACGAUUCUUCUAUGGUGUNNNNNNNNNNAGUUCAAAAGAGAAACAACUACCAGUUCCUUCAUAGAAGUGACCCGGAUGACCCACUAGUAGAACUAUACUCACAUGAAUUUAUUUAUUUACAAAAAAAUAUAAUCUUUCGUAUGCUAUACAGGGUCCAUGUAUCAUCCUUUCCGCCCUCUAGCGACGUCACUGGCUUGUAGCUCGUUUCUCUGACCUAACAUAGACCUUAUCUAGUGACUACUCCCUCCGUUCUUAAAUAUAAGUUUUUUUAAAAAACAUUAAGAAGUACAUACGGAGUAAAAUAAAUGAAUCUAAACUAUAACAUAUGUCUAUAUACAUCCGUAUAUAGUUUAUAGCAAAUUCUUUAAAAAAAAAUUACGAACGGAGGAAGUAGUACGUACACAUCAUGUACUCCCAUCUCCACAUCUCAGAAGAGAAAUCGCAGCUUCUUUCUAACUAGCUAGUGCUUGGCUAUGGUCAGUGACGGAGCCAGAAAACUGAGUUAGGGUGGCGGGGUGCUAAAUAUCAUGCAGCCCAUAUGGAUAUGCGAGGGUUGCCAAAGAAGUUUUUGCCCCGGCGCACACAGCUUGCUGUGAGGCGAGUCGUUGAGGAGAGCUACCGUUCGUCGAACAAAGAAGAUAGGCUACUAGCUAAACUACAAGCUCUCACACCGGCUGUAUGGAGAGCUAGGUACACCUCAUCUAGAUAUUCAGUGAUGCCUUAUCUAGUGACUAGUAGGUGCGCCUCAUGUACUUCAUCUCCACAGCUCACAAGAGAAACCGCAGCUUCUUUCUAGCUAGUCACUAGUAGGUACCCCUCAUGUACAUACAUGUAAACCAUAGCUAGUACUAGGUUGGCUCACUAAAUAUUAUCACAAGUGCAUGACUUUUUGGUAUUUUGUCUUGUGAUAGUGAUACUCCUGGCGGCAUGUAUCGAGUCAAGGGUCCGGUAGGCCGUUGGACCCAUACGAGAAAAAUAUCAUCUUAACAUUUUUU